CUGGGCCGUUUAAGACAUGCCGU
rnacentral:snRNA from 1 species